rnacentral:tRNA from 1 species
GUAAUGAUAGCUUAAUUUAAAGCAUUGGUCUUGUAAGUCAAAGAUAAAUAUUAUUUUCAUUACU